UACAGAGGGGGCAAGCGUUAUUCGGAAUUAUUGGGCGUAAAGGGCGCGUAGGCGGCUUGGCAAGUGGAUGGUGAAAUCCCUCGGCUUAACCGAGGAACUGCCGUCCAAACUGCUUCGCUUGAGACCGGGAGAGGUGAGUGGAAUUCCCAGUGUAGCGGUGAAAUGCGCAGAUAUCAGGAAGAACACCCGUGGCUAAGGCGGCUCUCUAGUACGUGACUGACGCUGAGACGCGAAAGCGUGGGGAGCGAACAGG
rnacentral:rRNA from 1 species